rnacentral:rRNA from 1 species
UACGAAGGUGGCAAGCGUUGUUCGGAUUUACUGGGCGUAAAGGGCUCGUAGGCGGCCAACUAAGUCAGACGUGAAAUCCCUCGGCUUAACCGGGGAACUGCGUCUGAUACUGGAUGGCUUGAGAUUGGGAGAGGGAUGCGGAAUUCCAGGUGUAGCGGUGAAAUGCGUAGAUAUCUGGAGGAACGCCGGUGGCGAAGGCGGCAUCCUGGACCAACACUGACGCUGAGGAGCGAAAGCCAGGGGAGCAAACGGG